CCCAAGUGGGCAGAGGGAUCCUCCUCCUGUCAUCACUGGCAGUCAUCCCAAGAGCUUGUGAGAAUACUCAAGAUCUGGAUGCGGGCAGCUGAGUGAAGCAAUCGCAUUACCACCUCUUCUUGAGCUGCUGUUCAUCAGCUGAGCCCUGCAAACUCAUUGCUCUCUCACAACCCAAAGAGUCAUUACAAGGACAAGCAAGGAGCACAAGAGAAGUGUUUCUCUGUUGUCACAGAGGCUGGAGGCACUGCCAAGAGGAGCUCUCCUGAAAAGCUGGUUCAUGCUUUGCAGCACUCAUCUCUCCUGGGGGCAAGAGCAAAGAAAGGCAGAAGGGACAACCCCCUUUGUGUCACGGACUAAGCAAAAACCUGUGCUCAUAUAGGUGCAAGGCUGGCUCAGGUAGAAAUUCUGCUCCACCACAUUUAUUCCAGAAUCACAGCAGACACUGGCACAGUCAGUUUGAUCAACGAUGAUCAACUCCACUGGGACAACUGGAAGGCUUCAGACUGGCUCUAAUGUGGUUUUGGACCAGCCUUUAAUCUGCAGGAGUUGUUUAUUUCCUAUGCUACACAUCUCCUCUGGGGAACAGUCUGUCCUUUCUGAACAGGAAACACUGUUG